GAGUUUGAUCCUGGUUCAGAUUGAACGCUAGCGGGAUGCCUUACACAUGCAAGUCGAACGGCAGCACGGACUUCGGUCUGGUGGCGAGUGGCGAACGGGUGAGUAAUGUAUCGGAACGUGCCCAGUAGCGGGGGAUAACUACGCGAAAGCGUAGCUAAUACCGCAUACGCUCUACGGGGGAAAGCAGGGGAUCGUAAGACCUUGCACUAUUGGAGCGGCCGAUAUCGGAUUAGCUAGUUGGUGGGGUAACGGCUCACCAAGGCGACGAUCCGUAGCUGGUUUGAGAGGACGACCAGCCACACUGGGACUGAGACACGGCCCAGACUCCUACGGGAGGCAGCAGUGGGGAAUUUUGGACAAUGGGGGAAACCCUGAUCCAGCCAUCCCGCGUGUGCGAUGAAGGCCUUCGGGUUGUAAAGCACUUUUGGCAGGAAAGAAACGUCAUGGGUUAAUACCCCGUGAAACUGACGGUACCUGCAGAAUAAGCACCGGCUAACUACGUGCCAGCAGCCGCGGUAAUACGUAGGGUGCAAGCGUUAAUCGGAAUUACUGGGCGUAAAGCGUGCGCAGGCGGUUCGGAAAGAAAGAUGUGAAAUCCCAGAGCUUAACUUUGGAACUGCAUUUUUAACUACCGGGCUAGAGUGUGUCAGAGGGAGGUGGAAUUCCGCGUGUAGCAGUGAAAUGCGUAGAUAUGCGGAGGAACACCGAUGGCGAAGGCAGCCUCCUGGGAUAACACUGACGCUCAUGCACGAAAGCGUGGG
rnacentral:rRNA from 1 species